AUGAGUUGUAUCAGCUGGAACUGCCGGGGGCUUGGGAACCCCGAGGUAGUUCGCGAGCUUCACAAUGUGGUGAAGCAAGAAGGGCCAGCCCUACUCUUUGUUAUGAAGACGAAGAUCGGGGAUGACAGAGUAGAGGAUCUGAAGUUUACCUUGGGUUUCUCUGGUUGUUUUGCAGUUAAUAGCAUCGGUCUUAGUGGAGGCAUCAGAUUAUUUUGGUCCAAGGAUGUAUCCGUUGAGCUCAAAAACUAUAGUUCUGGCCACAUUGAUGUGUUGGUGCGGAGGACAGAUCAAAGCUCGUUCGAGUGGAUAUUUACUGGGUUCUAUGGUGCGCCUAGGGUCGGGGAUCGUCAUCACAGUUGGCGUCUUGUAUGA
rnacentral:rRNA from 1 species